rnacentral:rRNA from 1 species
AUUGAACGCUAGCGGGAUGCUUUACACAUGCAAGUCGAACGGCAGCGCGGACUUCGGUCUGGCUGCGAGUGGCGAACGGGUGAGUAAUGUAUCGGAACGUGCCCAGUAGCGGGGGAUAACUACGCGAAAGCGUAGCUAAUACCGCAUACGCCCUACGGGGGAAAGCAGGGGAUCGUAAGACCUUGCACUCUUGGAGCGGCCGAUAUCGGAUUAGCUAGUUGGUGGGGUAACGGCUCACCAAGGCGACGAUCCGUAGCUGGGUUGAGAGGACGACCAGCCACAUUGGGACUGAGACACGGCCCAUACUCCUACGGGAGGCAGCAGUGGGGAAUUGUGGACAAUGGGGGCAACCCUGAUCCAGCCAGCCCGAGUGUGAGAUGAAGGCCUUCGGGUUGUAAAGCACUUUUGGCAGGAAAGAAACGUCGCGGGCUAAGACCCCGUGGAACUGACGGUACCUGCAGAAGAAGCACCGGCUAACUACGUG